UGGGGAAUAUUGGACAAUGGGGGCAACCCUGAUCCAGCCAUGCCGCGUGUGUGAAGAAGGCCUUCGGGUUGUAAAGCACUUUCAGCUGUGAGGAAAGGCGAGUGGUUAAUACCCGCUUGCUGUGACGUUAACAGCAGAAGAAGGACCGGCUAACUCCGUGCCAGCAGCCGCGGUAAUACGGAGGGUCCGAGCGUUAAUCGGAAUUACUGGGCGUAAAGCGCGCGUAGGUGGUUCAGUCAGUCAGAUGUGAAAGCCCCGGGCUCAACCUGGGAACUGCACCUGAUACUGCUGAGCUAGAGUACGGUAGAGGGUAGUGGAAUUUCCGGUGUAGCGGUGAAAUGCGUAGAGAUCGGAAGGAACACCAGUGGCGAAGGCGACUACCUGGACCGAUACUGACACUGAGGUGCGAAAGCGUGGGUAGCAAACAGGAUUAGAUACCCUGGUAGUCCACGCCGUAAACGAUGUCAACUAGCCGUUGGGGGGACUUGAUCCUUUAGUGGCGGAAGCUAACGCG
rnacentral:rRNA from 1 species